GGCAUCCUUCUUAUGUAGCAUGUUGCUACACUGAUUGUGAAUUCCACUAAAUUAAGAAAGAGGUGUCAUUCUUCCACACGAGACACAGAAUUUAUUAUAGAAGAAGUUGCUGAGAUUGAUCCUUCGUUACUAUUUAAAGGGGAAAAUGAAGAACCGUUCUCUCUUCUAUUGCAGUGGAAGCAAUUCAUAACCAUGCAAGCCAGUGCUCCAUAUGCAGCGAUGUUACUAGUUCAAUUAGCUUAUGGAGGAUCUAAUAUCCUCAUGGAAAUUGCUUUGAGAAGGGACUCUAUCAACUAGUAUUUGUGGUUCACCGUCAUCUCAUUGCGAUGAUUUUUGUGGGCCCUUUUGCUUAUAUAAUUGAAAGUUGCAGAGUAAUGUUAUCUCGAGUUUGACAUUCAUAAUGGCAGUUUUACUCUGGAUGGAGAAAGUGAAGACUGGCACUGAUAAACAUCUAUAGCACCAAAGGUUCUGCUGGUGGGUACAGGCAUGCUAAA